GUGUGAAUGCAACUUUAAAAUCAAAAAUUUCACUGGACAACUGUUGUAGUAACUAAUUUAAAGCCUGUCUGCAUAUUUCUGCCUUUUGUGAAUCCCAAGAGUGUUGGUUCUCAGUGACUUGUUUUGUUCUUGGUGUCUGAGGUAAUAUUUAUUCUAGCUAUAAGAUGCAAAGUUGUCCAUUCAUAGAUGCCAUUUGCUGCCCUUAAUUAUAUUUUUUGGCAAAAUAGACACCACUUUAUUUACUGA